CCUCCUUUCUAGAGUAUUCAAAUUUUAGGAUGUUAGUCUUUUUUCUUACUUCAAUAUUAUAUUUUAACUCACCCAAUAGCUCAGUUCUCACUACUGAACUCCGUGGCUAUUAUUUAUAGUCCCUUAGCUCAGUUGGUUAGAGCGCUACACUGAUAAUGUAGAGGUCCGCAGUUCAAAUCUGCGAGGGACUACCGCUAUGGGGAAUUAGCUCAGCUGGCUAGAGCGCCUGCCUUGCACGCAGGAGGUCAUCGGUUCGACUCCGAUAUUCUCCACUAAACUCAAAUGAGUUGAAGUUCUUUGACGUAUUUCAAUAUUAAUAAUCAUAAAAAGUACAUAACAAAUUGUUACUUAUUAAAAAGCAAAUUAAGGGCGUAUGGCGGAUGCCUUGGCUCUCAGAGGCGAUGAAGGACGUAAUAAGCUGCGAUAAGCUACGGGUAGGAGCAAAUAUCCUUUGAUCCGUANAUUCCNGAAUGG
rnacentral:misc_RNA from 1 species